CGGGAGUAACAACCUGGAAACAAGAUGCUAAUACCGGAUAACAACAGAUGAUGCCUAUCAACUGUUUAAAAGUAAUGGUUCUGCUAUCACUCUUGGAUGGACCUGCGGUGCAUUAGCUAGUUGGUAGGGUAACGGCCUACCAAGGCGAUGAUGCAUAGCCGAGUUGAGAGACUGAUCGGCCACAUUGGGACUGAGACACGGCCCAAACUCCUACGGGAGGCAGCAGGC
rnacentral:rRNA from 1 species